rnacentral:rRNA from 1 species
AUCCAUGGCCAUACCGCAUUGUACACACCCGAUCUCAUCUGAUCUUGGACAAUAAGCAGGAUCGGGCCUGGUUGGUACUUAGAUGGGAGACUGAAAGUUGAAAUAAUUAUCCAGGUGCAUUGCGUU